GACCACUGCGCCACCAGGGAAGUGCAGGAGACCAACUCUGAAGACCCAUGGAUCUAGUGGAACCAGUUUCUCUGUGUCUCCCUGGACUGACACCCCUAGACCGACCCAGGCAGGGGAGCGGCGGGCAGGUGAUGAGGACCGGGCUGGCGGAGAAAACACAGCGCCCCACUGGACGAGGAGACAAGCCUGGGACCGAGUCCUCCUGCCGCAUCCCACCCCUGGACAGAGGCCCCGCCCCCAGCUGUUCCUUAGCCCUGGAGCAAAGAGCAUCCACAGGCCCAGCAGGAAGGAAGCCUCUGGAAACUGACCAAGCUGUCUGGAUCCUCCACCCCGGGCCGCCCCAGCCCUGCGCUCCGCCCCCAGGGAGGGAGAGAAGCCUCCGGCAUAAGGAGACCAGCUCUGGCAUCCACUGGCUGUGUGACCUUAGGCAAGUAACUUAACCUCUCUGAGA